UUUUAACUCAUUUGGGCAGAAGAUAUUAAUGAGUUGUAAACGUCCAUUGUUUCCUUGGAAAUAAGCAGGUUAGUUUACUCCUAAACUCUCUGCUCCUCUCUCCAUUCUGUCUCCCAAACACUGUUUUCAAGCACCCUUGCUGAGGACCACCUACACAUUCUCUGGGGCCACCCAGGCCCUGCACAGCUGUUUUGCUGCAGCAGAUUCACUAUCCGAAGUAUUGUGCCUGAUCCUUGGCUUGUUGCAGACCUGUGGAACACCCCCAGGGGCCUCCUGUUCCGAGACUGAAUGUGGCGGGCCAAACUGCAGAACUGACGAAGGAGAGAAGAAGUGUGGGGGGCCUGGCUGUGGUGGUCUGGUUACUGUUGCACACAACGCCUGGCAGAAAGCCAUGGACUUGGACCAAGAUGUCCUGAGUGCCCUGGCUGAAGUGGAACAGCUCUCCAAGAUGGUCUCUGAAGCAAAACUGAGGGCAGAUGAGGCAAAACAGAGUGCUGAAGACAUUCUGUUGAAGACAAAUGCUACCAAAGAAAAAAUGGACAAGAGCAAUGAGGAGCUGAGAAAUCUAAUCAAGCAAAUCAGAAACUUUUUGACC
rnacentral:sRNA from 1 species